AUUUUUCCCCUUCUCCUCUUUCAUAGUAUGUUCAUAGUAGUAAAACUAACUCUUAUAUAUAAGUGUGAUCAAGUAGCAGGUGAAAGCUGGUAGGUGGAGGUUGUCCUGCCAGCUUGCCAAGGGUUAGUUUGGUCAUUACCUUUAUAUAAGGUCAAACAGUUCAUUUUGUAUUUGAGUUGGUACAGGUGUAGUCUCAGAGUUAUGGUAAUACAACAGCUGUCCGUUGAGAUUGUACGUGUAACUCCACAAAUUACUCUUACAACAGCUUAAGCUUUGGUUUUGUCUCACUAAAGAACCCAAAAUUCAUUCUCACACCUGGGAUAAUCUUCCGAUUUUGCUCAGAUUUUCAAUCAAAAGAGAGAAAGUUCGUAGUAAAACUAAUAGAAAACUCCAUUGGUGUGCUACUUGGAAUUCUAAUUUUAUCGUCUCUGUGAGUUCUUAGUUGUGUGCUUAAUUACCUGGACUCUAACAACAGUAUACAAGAUCAGUACAGCUUCAGAUCUUGCCUCACUAGCUCAACAUCAGCAUACAAGAUAAAAGAUUUUCAAAAAUGAAAAGACCCAGGUAGUUGUAGUAAAUAAAUUUGUGUUUGAUUGUUUAUUGUUUGAUUCUUUUAACUGAAUUUCCCAUUAGAUAAUCUUUUCUUCUAGUUGUUUGGUUGAUCUGCUAUACAUACUACGAAAUUUGUGGGUUUCCCGCUUUUUCUCUCUGGAAAAAAAAUAGAAAUAACUAUUUCAUAGUUCUGCAAAAUUUCUCGAUUUGUUGUGUUUUCUGCCCUUGCAAUCUGUUGUUGUGUAUUGACAUUUUCUAACUACAUGGAUGAGUUUUUUGAGUUUAAGGAUCAUAUUCUUCAAUUUAAAAUAAGUAAUGAAACACACAACAUACCUGAUGUAAUUCCACAAGUGGAGUAUGUGGAGGAUAGAGUGUACACAAACUGUAAUAGUUGGGGUUAUAUGUGUCUGUGCUUACAAAGGGAUUGCUAAUAUCUUCAUCAAACAAGUAACUGAAGCUUAACAUACCUUCUUUAGCACAAAAGACCAAUAAUAACAGUAACCAAACACCGAAUUAAUGGAGAAAAGCUACUAAUAAGUACUCUCCAGCUUAUAAUGUACAAAUGAAGUGUACAACUAUCAGCUGGAUUUUCUCUUAUGAGUAUUACUGAUUUUAGAGUUAUGGCGUUAUCUGUUUCGAGGCAAUUCACCAGCAACACAAAAUGGUAUGUAGUUAAAAUUGUUUUUGUUUUUUAUGUAUCUUUGCCCUUUUCUGUAUGUUUGCUACUGAGUUAUGUCUUUCUAAACUAGGACCAUUUGUUUAAUAUUCUAAUAUCACUUCCAUUUGUUGCGAUUCUUGGUUUUCAGAUUGAAUAAAUGUGCUAUGUCUUAAGAAUGGAUUAGGGUCCAAUCAAUAUAGAGGUUCAUAUUGGUUAGGGAAAGGACUGGUGGUUUGGUUAUAUGUACAUGUAUAAUAUGUGACUGAAAUCAACCAAUCAUGAACAUGAUUGAAAUAUGUAAUGCGUAUAUAUAAAUUGACUCAAUGGAAAUAUUUGGCAUGUAAAAUAAGACCAUUAAAUACUACGUGAUGAGGUUAAAAAGGGGUCAAAUUGCAAAAACCAAUAGUAUCUGAGGCUCAAAGUCUUCUGUAAGCAAGAUAUUUGCAGCCUUAAUAUCUAUGUGAGUUUGUUGGAACGUCCUUUAAUCCGUCCUUGGUAAUUUGUUCUUCUGAUUUUACAUGGACAACCAAUUUAUGACAUAUAAACUUUCACUUCGCUUAACUGCAUAGUUCAAAAGGAAGUUGUUUGUAUAGAUCAACAAUGUUGGUUCCAAAGCUUUGAAUUUUUAUUCGGCAUACACUUUUAUUAUUCAAAUUGACAUUAUUUUUAAGAUACAUAAGGUAGUGAAGUUCUUUGUAUGGAUCGACUGGGUUGGUUCAAAAACUUUAAAUUUUCAUUCAGCAUAUGCUUCUCUUAUUCAAACUGACAUUAUAAGUACAUAAAGAUAUCUAAAUUAUUGGUACCACUUGAUAUAUUUCAUGACAAAGGGAUCAGUAGAGUAGAUUUUCCAGUCGGCUGUAACAUUUUCGAUUGCUGCCUUACAAUGGCCGAUAUUCUUCCAUCCCGUACUGACAGAUUUUACCAGUUCUUUCUCCUUUUAUUAUGUAUAUUGAUACCUAAUUCAUCUUCUAUUUUGACAAUGCAACAGCGAAUACCAUAAUGGAUCAGAGGUUUCUUGUGGACUCCAUCACAAAAGAAACUACAGACUGAACAAGGUUCAGGUAGUUGACAAGUUUCGCCCUUGCAAGAGCAAAGACUCAUCUGUCCAUUCUCACACAAUUCUUGUGCAAGAUAAAAGAGUAAUUUUCUCUUCAUAUCAACUCCCUAAAUACUCAGGUUGAUACUGUAAACGUUAGCUGCAACAAUGUUUUACAACCUGUAAAAUGUCUGCUAUAAAGAAAUGAAUGUGCACCUCACAACAAUGUCUGUUUUUUCUUGUAUACCAAGCUUGGGGAUAAUUUCUAUCAAAUAUUAUAGAAGGAUGUAUAGGUGCAGACUUGUAUUAUUAUGUUGUGCAGUGAGGUUAAAAGCGAUAAGUAUGUGAUUAAAAGUCAUGACUGAGAAAUGUUAAGGGACUAGACCAGAGAAAAAAUUUAGCAAAGUAUCUAUAAAUACAAAAGGUAUAAUACCAGUUGUCUACUCCCUAAAUACCCAAGCUGAUACUGUAAACGUUAUCUACAAUAAUCCUUUAGAAACUGCAAAAUGUUUGUCACGAAAAACUGAAUUUGCACCUUAGAAAAAGAAGGAACGAAAAAUCUAACUACUUCCUCUAUAAUUAUAAUAGCAUAUUUGAAGUUGUUUCUCUUUUACCUAACUACGGGAACAACAGUUUUCCAUAGUACUAUACAACGAUGACAUUCCCAAAUACGAGAAGUUAUUUCUCCUUUUCCACGCACAUCUUGUUUCUUAUGUGAAAGUUAGGGAUCCCCGUAGUUACUCAAUACGAGCCGGUACGUAUGAAUAGAUAGUUGACAGAUACACAAUUGUUGAGCCAAUUACCGGCAACAAUGGAUUGGAAGCACCGCUUCCUACUUUGGAAAAAUUGAAUGCACUUCCUUUCUCAGCUAUUGAACAUCAACACCCAGGUGCUGAAUUUGGUAAGCUCACUCAUUAGGGCAUCAAAUCAAACAUAUUGUGUACACGGUCGUUUCAACCGUCUAAAUCUUAAAUCUGGGUACUCAAUAUUCUCCAUUACUGUGUACACCAACUACAAUAGAUAAACACAAUAAUAAUCACAUACUUUGUCAUCUCCUAAAACUUUGACAACAAUUCCUCAGUAAAUGGGCCUAUCCAAGACCUGUAAAGUAAUCAAAAUACAUAUAAUACAUUGCACCAAGUGUCGCUAUGAUUACCACGGCAAUUGAUAGCAAACGAGGCUCCACUUGGACUUACACUUAAAUGAAGAUUAUAACAAGUGAUGCAAUUUACCUUGUACUAUGUGUCAGAGAAUUCAUCUGGUGAACAUAGAUAGAACAUUAGUUGGAUAACAUAAACUAAACAUGUCAACAAAAAAUUAUCAUCACCCCAUGUUAUGAAAAGUGAUAAUAGUAUCAAUAUAAGUUCUUAUACAUUUUCUACUGAGUUAAAAUAAUGUUACUAGCAGAAUUGAAAGAUCAUUUAAAUAUAGGAUACGUAAAUUUAAAAUAAUGUCUAGGAAAGCAUAUGCUUUAGUAUAGUUCAAUAGAGAUAAAGUGUGACACGUUAUAAGUUGUAUAUAUUAUUUGUUUAUCUGAUUUCAUACGAUUAUGCUCCUUCUCAUCACAUCCACAUCCACAAAUAGCAUGUUCAUCCAAUUCACUUUUUAAGUAUGUCAUAUGUCGCACCUGUUCAUGGAUUAAAAACCCUUUUUUCGGAUCACUAUUUGACAUGAUUAAUUUCCCUUUCAUGUUUAGUUACAUGUGUUCCAUGAAUUCUAUCUUAAUUACCUUCUUAUAUGUUAUAUGUCACUGUAUGCAUACUAAUGUUACUGAAGCAUGACUUAUUUUCUCUUCUUUUGCAGUUGUAACUAUAUGCCAACCUUUCUUUACAUUUUGCUUAGCACUGUCCACUUCAUCAAAUGGUAUAGCAUGUACAGAUGAAUUUUGCUUCCCUAUACCAGCAUCAGAUAGCAGGCUGCCUGAACUAACUUUUUGUCUUCUAAUGUAAACGACAAUCAAUAUCUCAAUGUACAGUCACUGUGUUACCAUGGCAGACCUGCAUAUUGAUAGUUUAUAUUUAUACUUUGUGAUACAACCUUAUAUAACUUAUCUCCACUAAUCCUUCACCUCAUCAUUGGGCCCGUGCUUGCACGGGCUUCUCCAUCUAGUUGUAUAUAGAUAUGAAAGCAAAUUUAAUUCAUCCAAAUAGUUGACAUUUUAUAGUUUUGUCUUUUAUAUUUAUUCAAAAAUGGUCCUCAAGUUUGGGGAUAGUCUUAAGAUAAUCCAUUAAUAUAUUCUUGAGCAAUUUUAGUCUUUUUAAUUUGUCAAAAUGAACUCGUUUUAUC
rnacentral:lncRNA from 1 species